UACGUAGGGUGCGAGCGUUGUCCGGAAUUAUUGGGCGUAAAGGGCUCGUAGGCGGUCUGUCACGUCGGGAGUGAAAACUCAGGGCUUAACUCUGAGCUUGCAGUGGGUACGGGCAGACUAGAGUGCGGUAGGGGAGACUGGAAUUCCUGGUGUAGCGGUGAAAUGCGCAGAUAUCAGGAGGAACACCGGUGGCGAAGGCGGGUCUCUGGGCCGUAACUGACGCUGAGGAGCGAAAGCAUGGGGAGCGAACAGG
rnacentral:rRNA from 1 species